GAUGAACGCUGGCGGCGUGCCUAAUACAUGCAAGUCGAGCGAACGGACGAGAAGCUUGCUUCUCUGAUGUUAGCGGCGGACGGGUGAGUAACACGUGGAUAACCUACCUAUAAGACUGGGAUAACUUCGGGAAACCGGAGCUAAUACCGGAUAAUAUUUUGAACCGCAUGGUUCAAUAGUGAAAGACGGUUUUGCUGUCACUUAUAGAUGGAUCCGCGCUGCAUUAGCUAGUUGGUAAGGUAACGGCUUACCAAGGCAACGAUGCAUAGCCGACCUGAGAGGGUGAUCGGCCACACUGGAACUGAGACACGGUCCAGACUCCUACGGGAGGCAGCAGUAGGGAAUCUUCCGCAAUGGGCGAAAGCCUGACGGAGCAACGCCGCGUGAGUGAUGAAGGUCUUCGGAUCGUAAAACUCUGUUAUUAGGGAAGAACAUAUGUGUAAGUAACUAUGCACGUCUUGACGGUACCUAAUCAGAAAGCCACGGCUAACUACGUG
rnacentral:rRNA from 1 species